rnacentral:lncRNA from 1 species
AUGGCUCUCCAGAGCCCCCUUGACGCUCACCUCGAUGGAGGUCCGCUUUUUCCUCUUGCGCCCCUGCGCUGCGAUCUUGUCUAUGCUCGUGGGGCUGCCCGAGGACGAGUCCGCCUCCUCCAACCACUUGUUCAACAAAGGCUUCAGCUUGCACAUGUUCUUGAAGCUCAGCUGCAGGGCCUCAAACCUGCAGAUGGUGGUCUGCGAGAACACGUUGCCGUAGAGGGUGCCCAGCGCCAGCCCCACGUCCGCUUGGGUAAAUCCCAGUUUGAUCCGGCGCUGCUUGAACUGCUUGGCGAACUGCUCCAGGUCAUCCGAGGUCGGCGUGUCCUCGUCCGAGUGCGGGUCGUGGUGCGCGCCGGGGUGGCCCGGCGGGCCCUGCGGGGGCGGCGGCGGCGGCGGCUGCUGGUGCGGGUGCGAGUGCGGGUGCGGGUGGUGGUCGGCGUGGUGCGGCUCGUCGUGCGCGUCCCGCAGGCCGUGGUGGUGCAGCCCCGCCGGCUGCCCGCCGGCGCCCAGCAUGCCGUUCACCGUGAAGCUGGGCUGCGAGUAGAGCAAGCCGCCGUUGGACGCUCCCAUGGAGGGCGGGAGGUGCGCGGCGGCCGCGGCGCUGCGCCAUGCCCCGGGCCCCGGGUGGUGGUUGGCGGCGUGGUGCACCAGAUGCGGCGGCCGCUGCUGCUGCUGCUGCUGUUGCUGCUGCUGCUGCUGCUGUUGCUGCUGCUGCUGCUGCUGGUGCUGCUGCUGCAGGGCGCCCGGCCCGUGCAGCUCGUCGCCGCGGCCGCCCUGCUGCACCACCACGGAGGGCUUGAUGUCCGGCUGGCCCAGGGGGCUGGUGGACCACGGGGAGCCGUCGCCGCCGCCCCCGCCGCCGCCCCCGCCCCCGCCGCCGCCGCCGCCGCCCCCGCCGCCGCCGCCGUGGGACAGCGCGGUGAUCCACUGGUGAGCGUGGCUGAGCGGGUGCCCGUUGCUCUGCAGCGCGCCGUAGUCGCCCUGCACCAGGCUCUGAGCCUCGCGGUAGCCCCCCGCGCCCUGCUGCAUGCCGCCCGGCGGCUCGGCGUGCACGAUGGAGGCGCUGGAGGCAAGUUUCCGGAAUGUGGGUCCCGGUGA